rnacentral:rRNA from 1 species
GUAGUCUCGCACAGAUGCAUAUCAAUAAGCGGAGGAAAAGAAACUAACAAGGAUUCCCUUAGUAACGGCGAGUGAAGCGGGAAGAGCUCAAAUUUGAAAUCUUCAAGGUUUUACCUUGACGAAUUGUAGUUUAAAGAAGUGUUUUCUGUUGAAGUUUUGGUAAAAGUUCUUUGGAAUAGGACAUCAUAGAGGGUGAGAAUCCCGUAUUUGACCAUUUACUUUUCAGCUGUGUGAUACACUUUCAAAGAGUCGGAUUGUUUGGGAAUGCAGUCCAAAAUGGGUGGUAAAUUUCAUCUAAAGCUAAAUAUUGGCGAGAGACCGAUAGCGAACAAGUACCGUGAGGGAAAGAUGAAAAGAACUUUGAAAAGAGAGUUAAACAGUACGUGAAAUUGUCAAAAGGGAAGCGUUUGACACCAGUGUUGUUUUCUCGAAAAUCAAUUAAAAAGAGUUAGAUUUUGUUGUGUAUUGACCUUAACAGCUUGCAUUUCAAUUUUCUUGCUUUUUUUAAUGCACUUUUCGUUUAACAAGUCAACAUCAGUUUCUUUUGUUGUAAAAAGGUCAUUGGAAGGUGGCUUUCUUUUCGGAGAAAGUGUUUAUAGCCUUUGACUCCUGCAAUCGGAGAGACUGAGGUCUGCAGCGUAGAUCCUUCGGGGUUAGAUACAUUUGUGCUAAGUUAUAGCUUUUUAUAGACAACUUGUUGACUAUGAUUAGUCUUGUAGCUUGCUCGCUUAUGCUAUUUUACCUACGCUUAGGAUGUUGAGCGCAUGUCUCUCUC